rnacentral:rRNA from 1 species
AGUGAACGCUGGCGGCAGGCCUAACACAUGCAAGUCGAGCGGCAGCGGGUUCCCGCGAGGGGAUGCCGGCGAGCGGCGGACGGGUGAGGAACACAUCGGAAUCUGCCUGGUUGUGGGGGAUAACGUAGGGAAACUUACGCUAAUACCGCAUGCGACCCUGAGUCGACGGACUGGGGGUGAAAGUGAGGGACCUUCGGCCGUCACGCGACCAGAUGAGCCGAUGUCGGAUAGCUAGUUGGCGGGGUAACGGCCCGCCAAGGCGACGAUCCGUAGCUGGUCUGAGAGGAUGAUCAGCCACACUGACACUGAAUAACGGUCAGACUCCUACGGAGGCAGCAGUCGGGAAUUUUGGGCAAUGGGCGAAAGACCUGACCCAG